rnacentral:rRNA from 1 species
CCUACGGGAGGCAGCAGUGGGGAAUAUUGGGCAAUGGAGGCAACUCUUACCCAGCAAUGCCGCGUGAAUGAAGAAGGUCUUCGGAUUGUAAAGUUCUUUCAUUGGGGAAGAAAAAAGUGACGGUACCCAAGGAAUAAGCCGCGGCUCACUACGUGCCAGCCGCCGCGGUAAUACGGAGGGGGCACGCGUUGUUCGGAAUGACUGGGCGUAAGGGGUGUGUAGGUGGGGUAGUAAGUUAGUAGGGAAAUACCCAGAGCUUAACUCAGGUGCUGUUUCUAAAACUGCUAUACUUGAGUGCAGGAGAGGAAAGUGGAAUUCCUAGUGUAGCGGUGGAAUGCGUAGAUAUUAGGAGGAACACCAGUGGCGAAGGCGACUUUCUGGACUGUAACUGACGCUGAGGCACGAAAGUGUGGGGAGCAAACAGGAUUAGAUACCCUUGUAGUC